rnacentral:misc_RNA from 1 species
ACCUACUGUUUAAUUUUGAGGGUUCGUUUUUACGAAUACUCAAAAUUAGCACUUUUAGCAACGGGAUUUAUCCGUUGGCGCCGUGCUUUAGCACUUUGAAAACUGCAUAUAUAUUUAGUGAUAUGACAUCUAAUUUGUAAUAUAUAAAGCUGAUAACUUUUUAAAAUUAUCGAAGUUGAUAGCUUCUAAUCUAUCAAACCUUUUUAACUGGUCAA